AUGGAGUCAACUACGAAACUUAAAGAUAUUACAGUGGGAUAGCAAAAUUGUAAGGUCUUUGCACAGGUAAUAAGGCUUUGGGAUGCUAUAAAUACGAAUCCUAGAUAUGGAAAUGCUUUGAUCAACAUUGAUGGCAUUCUCUUGGAUGAAGAUGGAUCCAUGGCACAAAUCAGUGUGCCUAAAAAAUUUGAAAAACAAUUUCGUGGGUUGCUAUCUCAAGGAUCUGUCUAUAUUAUUUCAAAUGUUGCAGUUAUCGAUAUCAAAAGCAAAUCAUAUGUCUAUCGCCAUCAGAAUUAUAUGCUGCAAUUCAAACAAGACACAAAGGUUCAUCCGCUACAUUCAAGAGGUGCAGAUAUACCUACACUUUCGUUCGACUUUUGCCCAUUUGAUCAGCUGCCACAAAAAGCAAUUGAUUCCAAGCCACUCCUAGAUGUGAUAGGAGUAAUAUGUGAUGUUGGUCCAUAUGACUAUGCUAGCCAAACAUCUCAGCACAAAUUUCGGAAGAUCAAAAUUCGCAACCUAGAAGAACAAACACAAGAAUUAGUUCUAUGGGGCCAGCAUGGAGAAUCAUUUGAUGAAGAAACAGUACUUAAAAAAUAUCAAGAAGGAAUUGUCAUAGCCAUUUUUGCUGGUGUAACUGCAACUAAGUUUAUAGGUAUGAUACAAGGAUCCUCAAGUUCUGCGACACAAAUAUAUCUUGAUCUUGAUAUACCUGAAGUUCAAAAGUACCGCACCAGGUUCUCUCUUUCUCACUCUUGCGCAUGCAUAAUUUAUGUUUAG
rnacentral:rRNA from 1 species